ensembl:snRNA U6 U6 spliceosomal RNA
GUGCUUGCUUCGGUAGCACAUAUACUAAGAUUGGGACAAAACAAAGAUUAGCAUAGCCCCUGUACAAGGAUGGUGUUAAGGUUUUAUUGUUGUGAAGAAACAUCAU